rnacentral:tRNA from 1 species
GCUCCGAUAGCUCAGCUGGAUAGAGUACUAGACUUCGAAUCUAGGUGUCGCAGGUUCGAAUCCUGCUCGGAGCA